GACAGAGGAGGCAAGCGUUGUCCGGAUUGACUGGGCGUAAAGCGUCCGCAGGUGGUCGCGCAAGUGCGCUGUGAAAGCGGCCCGCUCAACGGGCCGAGGCCAGCGCAGACUGCGCAACUCGAGGUCGGGAGAGGUCGGUGGAAUUGCCGGUGUAGUGGUGAAAUGCGUAGAUAUCUGGAGGAACACCAAAGGCGAAGGCAGUGUCCUGGGGAGCAUCUGACGCUCAGGUGCGAAAGCUAGGGGAGCGAACGGG
rnacentral:rRNA from 1 species